GCCAGAGCCAUGUCUCCCUGCAGUUCUCACCUGGUUUCCCACUGAAGCUAAGCAGGGUUGAGCCUGGCCAGUACCUGGAUGGGAGAAAUCCUGGGAAAAACUAAAGUUGCUGCUGGAA
ensembl:rRNA 5S_rRNA 5S ribosomal RNA